rnacentral:rRNA from 1 species
CAUAUCAAUAAGCGGAGGAAAAGAAACUAACAAGGGAUUCCCCUAGUAACUGCGAGUGAAGCGGGAAAAGCUCAAAUUUUAAAUCUGGCAGUCUCUGGCUGUCCGAGUUGUAAUCUAGAGAAGUGUUAUCCGCGCUGGACCGUGUACAAGUCUCCUGGAAUGGAGCGUCAUAGAGGGUGAGAAUCCCGUCUUUGACACGGACUGCCAGGGCUUUGUGAUGCGCUCUCAAAGAGUCGAGUUGUUUGUGAAUGCAGCUCAAAAUGGGUGGUAAAUUCCAUCUAAAGCUAAAUAUUGGCGAGAGACCGAUAGCGAACAAGUACCGUGAGGGAAAGAUGAAAAGAACUUUGAAAAGAGAGUUAAACAGUACGUGAAAUUGCUGAAAGGGAAACGCUUGAAGUCAGUCGCGUUGACCAGGGAUCAACCUUGCUUUUGCUUGGUGUACUUCCUGGUUGAUGGGUCAGCAUCAAUUUUGACUAUUGGAAAAAGGUCAAGGGAAUGUGGCAUCUUCGGAUGUGUUAUAGCCCUUGGUUGCAUACAAUGGUUGGGAUUGAGGAACUCAGCACGCCGCAAGGCCGGGUAUUUUACCACGUACGUGCUUAGGAUGCUGGCAUAAUGGCUUUAAUCGACCCGUCUUGAAACACGGACCAAGGAGUCUAACAUGCCUGCGAGUGUUUGGGUGGAAAACCCAAGCGCGCAAUGAAAGUGAAAGUUGAGAUCCCUGUCGUGGGGAGCAUCGACGCCCGGACCAGACCUUUUGUGACGGUUCCGCGGUAGAGCAUGUAUGUUGGGACCCGAAAGAUGGUGAACUAUGCCUGAAUAGGGUGAAGCCAGAGGAAACUCUGGUGGAGGCUCGUAGCGAUUCUGACGUGCAAAUCGAUCGUCAAAUUUGGGUAUAGGGGCGAAAGACUAAUCGAACCAUCUAGUAGCUGGGUUCCUGCC